GAUAACUGGCUUGUGCUGGCCGCAUACACAGUAUUUUGAGCCUUCUGUUGGUUCUUCCUAACAUUGUGAGUAAAAUUUACAACUGUUGGAUUACUCACCCACUAUCAGGGAAUGCAAGCUAGGUUCAGACUACCAGGGGACAGGUU
rnacentral:ncRNA from 1 species